AUGGGGGCAAUGGCCUUAAUGCAGAAAUACCUUUGAAAUUUUGAUAGUUGAUAAAAAAAAACCCCCAGAAAUUAAUUGAACUCUGAGGGAGGGUCAGGCUUUCUAAGUUUAAGCCAAUCAAUACAAGUGCUUUGAGCUCUUAAGAGGACCAAUAAAAACAAAAACCUCUCAAUCAGCCAAUCAGUAGUGAGGAAUAUCGUCAUAAUAUAAGGUUUAACCUACUUCUGGGAAGCGAAAACAUUGCGAGUGAUGGAUUUUUAAAAAAACAAUAAAAAAAAAAGAGAAGGAGAGAGAAAUAGAAAAAAAUCAGACACUGCAAGUCUAAACCCUUUAAGGAAAGCGGAGUUAUAAAUUUUAGAUUUAAAUCACCCCUUAUAAAGUCAUUUACAACUGAUUGUCUUUACAAAAUUAUCUAAAAAUCAAAACUCCUCCAGG